rnacentral:rRNA from 1 species
AGUGAACGCUGGCGGUAGGGCUAACGCAUGCAAGUCGAACGGCAGCACAGUAAGAGCUUGCUCUUACGGGUGGCGAGUGGCGGACGGGUGAGGAAUACAUCGGAAUCUACUUUUUCGUGGGGGAUAACGUAGGGAAACUUACGCUAAUACCGCAUACGACCUACGGGUGAAAGCAGGGGAUCUUCGGACCUUGCGCGAUUGAAUGAGCCGAUGUCGGAUUAGCUAGUUGGCGGGGUAAAGGCCCACCAAGGCGACGAUCCGUAGCUGGUCUGAGAGGAUGAUCAGCCACACUGGAACUGAGACACGGUCCAGACUCCUACGGGAGGCAGCAGUGGGGAAUAUUGGACAAUGGGCGCAAGCCUGAUCCAGCCAUACCGCGUGGGUGAAGAAGGCCUUCGGGUUGUAAAGCCCUUUUGUUGGGAAAGAAAAGCAGCAGGUUAAUACCCCGCUGUUCUGACGGUACCCAAAGAAUAAGCACCGGCUAACUUCGUG